GUGAGGAAUAUUGGUCAAUGGGCGAGAGCCUGAACCAGCCAAGUAGCGUGAAGGAAGAAGGAUCUAUGGUUCGUAAACUUCUUUUGCAGGGGAAUAAAGUGCAGGACGUGUCCUGUUUUGUAUGUACCCUGAGAAUAAGGAUCGGCUAACUCCGUGCCAGCAGCCGCGGUAAUACGGAGGAUCCGAGCGUUAUCCGGAUUUAUUGGGUUUAAAGGGUGCGUAGGUGGUUUGAUAAGUCAGCGGUGAAAGUUUGCAGCUUAACUGUAAAAAUGGCGUGGAAACUGUCGGACUUGAGUGUAAAUGAGGUAGGCGGAAGGCUUUGUGUAGCGGUGAAAUUCAUAGAUAUCACGCAGAACUCCGAUUGCGAAUGCAGCUUACUAAGCUACAACUGACACUGAAGCACGAAAGCGUGGGGAUCAAACAGGAUUAGAAACCCCGGUAGUCC
rnacentral:rRNA from 1 species